UACGUAGGGUGCAAGCGUUAUCCGGAAUUAUUGGGCGUAAAGAGCUCGUAGGCGGUUUGUCGCGUCUGCUGUGAAAACUGGGGGCUCAACCCCCAGCCUGCAGUGGGUACGGGCAGACUAGAGUGCGGUAGGGGAGAUUGGAAUUCCUGGUGUAGCGGUGGAAUGCGCAGAUAUCAGGAGGAACACCGAUGGCGAAGGCAGAUCUCUGGGCCGUAACUGACGCUGAGGAGCGAAAGCAUGGGGGAGCAACAGG
rnacentral:rRNA from 1 species